GCGGGCGUGGCGGAAUGGCAGACGCGUCGGUCUUAGGAACCGAUGUCCACGACGUGCAGGUUCAAGUCCUGUCGCCCGCA
rnacentral:tRNA from 1 species